rnacentral:lncRNA from 1 species
CUAUGUGUGUACGAGAGUGGGCCCCAAAGACCUCUGAUAAUCUGAUCAUACACUAUGGAAACACAUUCACAAUAGUGCAGAGCGGGUAAAAUCACCAUAACUAGUCAUACACUGUGGAAACACAUUCACAUCAGUGCAAACUGGGGUAAAAUCACUUGGGUACUUUCUGGUGAUUUUUAGAAAUAACUUUAACUAUACUGAAACAUGUAAUAAGAAUAUAA